GGAGCCCGAAUGUGUGUCGCUCGCCGGGUUACCGGUGUAGUGGAGCCUCUUGUGUGUCACACGGUGGAGCAACAGGCGCAGAGGAGCCUGAACGUGUGUCGCAUGGUGGGUUACCGUCGUGGAGGAGCCCAAACGUGUGUCACUCGCUGGGUUACCGGUGUAGCGGAGCCUCUUGUGCGUCACACGGUGGAUCAACAGGCGCAGAGGAGCCCAAACGUGUGUCGCAUGGUGG
rnacentral:lncRNA from 1 species